GACGGACGCUGGCGGCGUGCUUAACACAUGCAAGUCGAACGGAAAGGCCCCAGCUUGCUGGGGUACUCGAGUGGCGAACGGGUGAGUAACACGUGGGUGAUCUGCCCUGCACUCUGGGAUAAGCCUGGGAAACUGGGUCUAAUACCGGAUAGGACCGUGCUCUAGUGUGUGCGGUGGAAAGUUUUUCGGUGCAGGAUGAGCCCGCGGCCUAUCAGCUUGUUGGUGGGGUAAUGGCCUACCAAGGCGGCGACGGGUAGCCGGCCUGAGAGGGUGUACGGCCACAUUGGGACUGAGACACGGCCCAGACUCCUACGGGAGGCAGCAGUGGGGAAUAUUGCACAAUGGGCGCAAGCCUGAUGCAGCGACGCCGCGUGGGGGAUGACGGCCUUCGGGUUGUAAACCCCUUUCGGCAGGGACGAAGCUUUUGUGACGGUACCUGCAUAAGAAGCACCGGCUAACUACGUG
rnacentral:rRNA from 1 species